UACGGCGGGCGCAAGCGUUGUUCGGAAUCACUGGGCGUAAAGCGCGUGUAGGCGGCUUGGUAAGUCGGGUGUGAAAGCCCGGAGCUCAACUCCGGAACUGCAUUCGAAACUACCUCGCUCGAGUCCCGGAGAGGGUGGUGGAAUUCCCGGUGUAGAGGUGAAAUUCGUAGAUAUCGGGAGGAACACCAGUGGCGAAGGCGGCCACCUGGACGGUGACUGACGCUGAGAAGCGAAAGCGUGGGGAGCAAACAGG
rnacentral:rRNA from 1 species